AAAGCCUCUCACACUGCACCAUGGGAAGGUCUCGGUGGCUGCUUCCCCGUGUGUUACCUCAGCCUGAAACUUCUGUGAGGAAUGACUGUCUCUGUUGUUUGUUUGGUUUGUUGGCACCAGUGGGGGAAGGAGGCCAGAGAGAGUUCAAAAGUCCAGCUGCUCAGCAAAUCAGCUCUUCCUCCAUACCACCCUGCCUCUGUGGUCACUGGACUUGGAGCUCCAAGGGGCCCCAGAGCUAAGCAUAUCGACUUGUCCAGUGAUGACUGCUGCAAACCUGUAAUCCCAGCACUGGGGAGGAGGAGGUAGUAUAUCCCUGGGGAUCACUGGCCUGCCAGACCAGCCUACUUCAUGAGCUCCAGGCCAAUGAGAGAUAGUCUCAAAAUAACAAAAAGCAAAACAAAAGCAAUAGACAGUGUCUGAAGAACAACACCUAACAUUGUCAUUCACUCUCAGCAUGCACACACACACAUCACACCCAUACACAUGGGCAUACACACACACC
rnacentral:lncRNA from 1 species